GCAUUAAUGGGGUAGUGGUAACCUGGGUCGUUGCCAUGAAGGAAACUUUGAACUAUCCAACUGGAUCGACCCGCCGGGGGUUCGAUUCCCUCUUAAUGCA